UGUAUUGCUACCAUGUGGGUGUUAAAAUUCUGUGAUUUGUCAUCCCAAGAAUAUGUUUUAGUGUGAUAGACCUUGUUGUUUACAAGGGAGUCAAGAAUAGUGAUUAUCUGAUCAUUUCAGGAAUUGCUGGCUCCUCCUUCCAGUCUCUCUCCCCCAAGUUUUUCACCUCCUCAUCGCCCAUCACCUCCUCCCAGUCCUUCACCUCCUCCCAGUCCAUCACCUCCUCCACGUCCUUCACCCUCUCCACGUCCUUCACCUCCUCCCAGUCCAUCACCUCCUCCCAGUCCUUCACCUCCUCCCAGUCCUUCACCUCCUCCCAGUCCAUCACCUCCUCUCAGUCCAUCACCUGCUUGUAGUCUGUGAGUAAUAAAUAUCAGUGUAAUGUAAAAAAUGUGGAGAAGAAAGACAUAGGAGGGACGUUAUGGCUAUUAUGAGUAAUAUAGAUAAUAGAUUGGCUUAUCUUCAAUAUCAACUAUUAGUACAACAAUGUGAUACCAGAUAUUGCUUAUAACUCCCUUUAAGAUGUGCCUAACAAGAUUGUCUCUGUUCUUAAUAUAAUUUUCAGGGAUGUUGUCACCAUUCUCCGAGGUCUUAGGGAGACACUCAAACUCCUCCCCAACAGAGCUAAUCAAAUUAAUGCUCUGCGUGGGGAGGAGUUUGAUUGCGCGGCCCGAGCCUUCAGCAGAUCUAAUUUUGACCCAGAGUCAAAAUUAGAUGUCGUGUUUGUAGACGAUGAUGGUAUUGGAGAGGGGGCUGUGGAUGAAGGUGGUCCAACAAGGGAGUUCUGCCGCCUUCUCACCAGGCAGCUCCAAACACAUAGCAUUUUUGAAGGGCCCCUGGAAAAACGCACCUUGGCCCUAGAUAGUGUUGAUUGCCACAGCAACAACUCUUGAAGAGGCAAGAGAGGCAGUCAGUGACGCAUCAGAGGAACUGUCCCUGAUGGGUUCUCUGCGCUUCCUCAAAACUCUAGAGGAGAGGGAUGAACUGGUGACCGCUGUCCUGGG
rnacentral:lncRNA from 1 species